GAUGAACGCUGGCGGCGUGCCUAAUACAUGCAAGUCGAGCGAACAGACGAGGAGCUUGCUCCUUUGACGUUAGCGGCGGACGGGUGAGUAACACGUAGGUAACCUACCUAUAAGACUGGGAUAACUUCGGGAAACCGGAGCUAAUACCGGAUAAUAUUUCGAACCACAUGGUUCGAUAGUGAAAGAUGGCUUUGCUAUCACUUAUAGAUGGACCUGCGCCGUAUUAGCUAGUUGGUAAGGUAACGGCUUACCAAGGCAACGAUACGUAGCCGACCUGAGAGGGUGAUCGGCCACACUGGAACUGAGACACGGUCCAGACUCCUACGGGAGGCAGCAGUAGGGAAUCUUCCGCAAUGGGCGAAAGCCUGACGGAGCAACGCCGCGUGAGUGAUGAAGGUCUUCGGAUCGUAAAACUCUGUUAUUAGGGAAGAACAAACGUGUAAGUAACUGUGCACGUCUUGACGGUACCUAAUCAGAAAGCCACGGCUAACUACGUG
rnacentral:rRNA from 1 species